rnacentral:lncRNA from 1 species
UAUAACAGGGGUUUUCGUCGUUCCUGUUAUAUUUAGAAUUCGGGGGAAAAGUCACUAGAUACUGAUGAAACAAAACUAAGUUUAGCUUUACGAUGGUUUAUAUACAACUUCUUCAAUAGUGCAAUACAUUAAAUACAAUAAAAGUUCAACGGUAAAUAUUCCGAAAAGACAAAACAAAUGGUAAUUCCAAUAAAUGUUCUAUACUAAGCACAAUGAAUGUCACUGUAAAUGCACGGCGUCCGUACAGCUUGACCGCUGGUAUCCAACUGACUAUUCGCAUAGAAACGAUAUUAAAUGUAUUACGUAAUCUUACUUAAUCAUAACUACAUGUAAUAAUGAAAUUUGUCACGUAAUGCUAUAAACGAAUAAUACAAUUAAAACAUAUAUACGAUAACAAGAAAUAGACAAUGCUAGGAUUAAAAUGGAUUAAUUUCUUAACGUGUA